GGGUAACCUACCCAGAAGUGGGGGAUAGCCCCGGGAAACCGGGGGUAAUACCGCAUGAACUUUGGUUGACUCGAGUCGACCUUUGGAAAGGCGGGGAUCUUCGGACCUGUUGCUUCUGGAUGGGCCCGCGUCCGAUUAGCUUGUUGGUGGGGUAAUGGCCUACCAAGGCUUCGAUCGGUAGCCGGCCUGAGAGGGUGAACGGCCUCAUUGGGACUGAGACACGGCCCAGACUCCUACGGGAGGCAGCAGUGGGGAAUUUUGGGCAAUGGGCGCAAGCCUGACCCAGCGACGCCGCGUGGAGGAUGAAGGCCUUCGGGUUGUAAACUCCUGUCAGGUGGGAAGAAAUAUCCGCCGGAUAAUACCCGGUGGAAGUUGACGGUACCACCAAAGGAAGCCCCGGCUAACUCCGUGCCAGCAGCCGCGGUAAUACGGAGGGGGCAAGCGUUAUUCGGAUUUACUGGGCGUAAAGCGCACGUAGGCGGCAAUGCAAGUCGCAGGUGAAAGCCCUCGGCUCAACCGAGGAACUGCCUGCGAAACUACGUUGCUUGAGUCCGGGAGGGGGGAGCGGAAUUCCCAGUGUAGCGGUGAAAUGCGUAGAUACUGGGAGGAACACCGGUGGCGAAGGCGGCUCCCUGGACCGGUACUGACGCUGAGGUGCGAAAGCGUGG
rnacentral:rRNA from 1 species